GAUGAACGCUGGCGGCGUGCUUAACACAUGCAAGUCGAACGAAGCAUUUGCGACAGAUUUUUUCGGAAUGAAGUUGCUUAUGACUGAGUGGCGGAAGGGUGAGUAACGCGUGGGUAACCUGCCUUGUACUGGGGGAUAGCAGCUGGAAACGGCUGGUAAUACCGCAUAAGCGCACAAUGUUGCAUGACAUGGUGUGAAAAACUCCGGUGGUAUAAGAUGGACACGCGUCUGAUUAGCUAGUUGGUGAGAGAACAGCCCGGCAAGGCGACGAUCAGUAGCCGACCUGGGAGGGGGACCGGCCACAUUUGGAAUGAGACACAGCCCAGACUCCUACGGGAGGCAGCGGUGGAGACUAUUGCACAAUGGAGGAAACUGUGAUGCAGCGACGCGGGGUGAGUGAAGCAGUAGUUCGUGAUGUAAAGCUGUAUCAGCAGGGGAGAUAGUGACGGUACCUGACUAAGAAGCUCCGGCUAAAUACGUG
rnacentral:rRNA from 1 species